UACGUAAGCAGCAAGCGUUGUUCGGAAUUACUGGGCGUAAAGAGUGUGUAGGUGGUGCUCCAAGUCUGUUGUGAAAUCUCCCGGCUUAACUGGGAGGGUGCGGCGGAAACUGGAAUGCUUGAGGAUGGGAGAGGAAAGCGGAAUUCCUGGUGUAGCGGUGAAAUGCGUAGAUAUCAGGAGGAACACCCGUGGUGUAGACAGCUUUCUGGACCAUUUCUGACACUGAGACACGAAAGCGUGGGUAGCAAACAGGAUUAGAUACCCUGGUAGUCCACGCCCUAAACGAUGCAUACUUGGUGUGAGCGAUUCAUUUCGUUCGUGCCGGAGCUAACGCGUUAAGUAUGCCGCCUGGGGAGUACGGUCGCAAGGCUGAA
rnacentral:rRNA from 1 species